GAUGAAAGAACGCAGCGAAAUGCGAUAAGUAGUGUGAAUUGCAGAAUUCAGUGAAUCAUCGAAUCUUUGAACGCACAUUGCGCCCCUUGGUAUCCCGAGGGGCAUGCCUGUUCGAGCGUCAUUUCACCACUCAAGCCUGGCUUGGUGUUGGGCGACGUCCUCUUUGGGGACGCGCCUCGAAACGCUCGGCGGCGUGGCACCGGCUUUAAGCGUAGCAGAAUCUUUCGCUUUGGAAGUCGGGGCCCCGUCUGCCGGAAGACCUGCUCGCAAGGUUGACCUCGGAUCAGGCAGGGAUACCCGCUGAACUUAAGCAUAUCAAUAAGCGGAGGA
rnacentral:misc_RNA from 1 species